rnacentral:lncRNA from 1 species
GGAGCGGCCCAAGAAAUGGCAAAAAGACAAAAAAAUAAAAAAAUAAAAAAAAUAAAAAUGAAAUAAGAAAUGAUUAUUUGAAGAAUUAAAGAAAAGAAUGCGAAAAUAAAUUAUUAAAAAUAUCAUGAGUUAUAUCUCUCCAUACAAGUCAGAUAUAUUUUAUUGUUUAUUUGGUUUACUCAAAAUAAUUAUUAUAAAAAUCAAAAAAAUCAAAAACCAAAAAAGUUUCCAUUUGUCUUCAUAGCUUUAUUCUUAUUUUUUCUCACUUAAAUUGUUUUAUUUUCAUAUAAUCCAAAUUAAUUUUAUGAAUGUUACAGGGUUUUUUUGGUUGUGUUUUUUUUUUUUUUUUUUUGUGCCUGUAUGAAAAAGAAUGAAAUUCAAUAGCAAACAAGGUGAAAUAAUUUGGUUGUACGGAUUAAUGACCUAGAUGGAAGUCAGUUUCAAAAGAAUUUUUAAAAAUAAUAUAAAUUAAGUUCAAUAUCACCUGUUAACAUCUGUAAGACUAUGACAGCAGAACAAAUAAUCUUCUUGACAAAUUUUUAUGUACCUGCUUCUUUAUGGGUUUUUUUUGGGGGGGUGGUUGUCAUCUGGAAAUACUAACCUAGGCUAUUGUGAAAAAAACAUACAGUAUAAAAUGAUUCAUAAUGACCAACUUCAAUAGAUCAUUAAAUUCCUGACUCCUAGAAAUUCCCAAGUGUAGGAACUAGUUUCUCAAAAUUUGAAGAGAUUUUAGUAUCAAAAAGAAUCAGAAGAUAUAAUGAAACAAUUCAAUAUUUUCCCAGCCAGCAGAAUUUCCUCAUCAGAUGUAGAAAAUGUUUUAUACUAAAAGAUCUAUCUACAUUUAUCAUCAAUUUUUCUGUGGCUUCUGGAUAUAUAUAUAAUAAGGGGCAAAAUUUUAUGUCAUACCCUUUGAAACAAGAGGCCAGGGAAAACAAACCUAGAAGUUUCCAGACAUUGAUGUGCUUCCUCCACCCAAUUUCACCCUCUCCAAUGAAGUACUUUGGGACAAUAAAUUUCAAGGAUAAGUGUAAUAAAAAAAAAAAGCAAAAAAACAAACACCUCAACACCAAUAUCUCUUUAAUAGCUCAGGCUCUCUGAGCACUUCUAAAGAUGUCUCAGAACCCAGGCCUGGCCUGGAGGAUCAUGCAGUAAUGGACACAUGAACUAAAUGGAUCAUGCUGACUUUGAACAAAUCACUUAACCUCUCUGAGACUCAUUUUACUGAAAUGUAAAUUGGGUUUAAUGAACACUAACCAAACCCAAACAGAUAAAGAUUAAUAAUCAGAAGAAAAUAUAAGAAUUGACUUUCACAUCUCUUCACUUUGAUAUCUAUUUAACGUUUUUUGCAUUUUUCCUACCACCUCUUAUUUCUUUCUUUCACUGAUUUUUUUGUAAAUGAAGGAUAUCAGUCAUAUACUACAUGCACUGCACUCAUUUUAUCCCAUUAUGUCAUUCAUCUUCUGCUUUUGUUAUGAUAGAGAUUACCCUAGUGGAGUUAAAAAUAUUAUGUAACUAGACAUACUAACUUUCAUGUAUUGCUUCUGGAUUUGGUCCUAUUUAAUAAAAGGUUUUGCCUAACCUAAGAUUAUAAUUUGGAGAAAUAAGGAGAAGAAAGGAUUAUAUCCCAGAUAUAUUCAGUAGCUCUGAGAUAGUACAAAUGAAGGUGGGAAGACCUCUUGAGUUGAAAUUGAUUAAACCUUUAUUGAGAACAUUGUGGUCUGAUAUGUGGCAGUAGGGCUGAUGAUGAAGGGGAAAGCAAUUUAAAAAAUAUAUUUAAGCAAUAUAUUUAGGAAUGUGUACUUAUGAUAUAGGUCAGAAAAUAGUAACUGGUUCUAAUUUAGUCAGUAAUUACUUUGUGACCUAUGACAAUUCACUUAACCUCUCUAGAUCAAAGUUUUCUCAUCUAUACUAUACAAAUGUUGGAUUCAAUUAUCCAUUAAGUCCAUUACAUUCUGAAAUACUAUAAUUUUUAAAAAAGUCUCUAGAGACUCCAAGUGAUAAAUGCCAUUGUUCCCUGUCUAUUGAAAAGAGGAUUUCCCAUCAUGGCUCAGUGGAAACAAAUCUGACUAGUAUCUAUGAGGAUGCAGGUGUGAUCCCUGGCCUCACUCAGUUGGUGAAGGAUCUGUCAUUGCCGCCAGCUGUGGAGUAGGUUGCAGACGCGUCUUGGAUCUAGCUGUUGCUGUGGCUAUGGCUGUGGCCAGUGGCUACAACUCCAAUAUGACCCCUAGCCUUGGGACCCCCAUAUGCCACAUGUGUGGCCCU